GAUGAACGCUGGCGGCGUGCCUCAAACAUGCAAGUCGAGCGGGGCUAUGUAAUAUCGCAAGGUAGAACAUAGCCUAGCGGCGAACGGGUGAGUAACACGUGGGUAACCUGCCUGGAAGACAGGGAUAACGAUUCGAAAGGGUCGCUAAUACCUGAUAAUAUCCUUUCAUCGCAUGGUGAUAGGAAGAAAGGGGAAACCCGCUUUCAGAUGGGCCCGCGUCCCAUCAGCUAGUUGGUAAGGUAAAGGCUUACCAAGGCGACGACGGGUAGCCGGUCUGAGAGGAUGUACGGCCACACUGGGACUGAGAUACGGCCCAGACUCCUACGGGAGGCAGCAGUUGGGAAUCUUAGGCAAUGGACGAAAGUCUGACCUAGCGACGCCGCGUGAGGGAAGAAGGCCUUCGGGUUGUAAACCUCUGUCAUGGGGAAGAAGUAAGUGACGGUACCCAAGAGGAAGCCCCUGCUAACUACGUGCCAGCAGCCGCGGUAAAAGUACUCUA
rnacentral:rRNA from 1 species